CUUUCCCUCUUUCUUCAUGCUUUACACAUGCAAGUCGAACGGCAGCGCGGGCUUUGGCCUGGCGGCGAGUGGCGAACGGGUGAGUAAUACAUCGGAACGUGCCCAGUAGUGGGGGAUAGCUCGGCGAAAGCCGGAUUAAUACCGCAUACGACCUGAGGGUGAAAGCGGGGGAUCUUCGGACCUCGCGCUAUUGGAGCGGCCGAUGGCAGAUUAGCUAGUUGGUGGGGUAAAGGCCUACCAAGGCGACGAUCUGUAGCUGGUCUGAGAGGACGACCAGCCACACUGGGACUGAGACACGGCCCAGACUCCUACGGGAGGCAGCAGUGGGGAAUUUUGGACAAUGGGCGAAAGCCUGAUCCAGCAAUGCCGCGUGUGUGAUGAAGGCCUUCGGGUUGUAAAGCACUUUUGGCGGGAACGAAAAGGACUGUGCUAAUACCACGGUUCGAUGACGGUACCCGCAGAAUAAGCACCGGCUAACUACGUG
rnacentral:rRNA from 1 species